UCAGUCCAGUCGCUCUGAUUUAUUUUAACUCUUUUCUUGUUUGUAGAUCUUUAACAAAACAGAACACCAGUGUUGAAAGGAACUUAGAGAUGUAAUGUGAUCCCUCCAUCUUAUAAAUGAGGAAAUUGAGGCCCCGGAAGAAGGGACCGUCUAACCAGUGAGAGAGUAGUGAAUCUUGUUCCAUCUUCAGCCUUGAGGUCGUGGGAGUCCCGGCUGCCAGCGGUUCCCCUGAUUCCCGCUCUGUCUGCGUAAUCCUCAAAUCUUAACAGAGAAGUCGAACUCUGGCUUCCCAGGUCGGCUUCUCACUGGCCAUGCCACCUGCUCUGAGAAUCUAGAACCUCAACUUUGUUUGGGCUAAGAAUUUGUCCAACUUCAGUGAAGACUCAAGAUUGUUCUCAAUUGAUCAGGAUAAUAUCCCCCGCCCCCACCCACCAAUCUGGUGGCUACAUGAUCCUAAGCUGGAUGAGAUGUAAGAGGAAGGAUGGCUGCUUCUGGGGAAGCAUUUGCUUUCCUGAUAAAGGGCAGACGUGAAAGGGGACCUGGUGGUGCUGCCCCUUUUGCUGUUUUUCUGCCUUGAGUAGGGGUUGAUGCCUGGAGCUUGAGAGCCUGGAGCAUUAAGCUUGGGUAGGAGGAGCCAACACGAAGAUGGUGGAGCAGAAAUAUAGGAGAGCCUGGAUCCUGAUGACUUGGUUGAGCUGCCAGACCAACCCUAAGACUCCCUCACUCUGGGCUUCUCUCUCAGAAGACAAGUGAUGCAGAAUGGUUGGAGAUACUCCUAACUUCUUUAUCAGCCCUAACAGACACCAGCAUGGCCAAGACAUUCCCUCGAGAUCGGAUGCUAACCCUGAAGAAGACUCAUCACUAUCUUUGCAAAAGUGAUGUUGAAAUGAUUCUCCCACAAGUCAAGACGUUAUGUUGUUACAGCAUUGACAGUGGCAAAAACUGUCCUACUGGUUCUCCUCUGCUCUAAAACAUGCAUGCCACCCCCUUCUCCAGCACAGA